UAAUGGUUUUAGGAUAUGAACCCUUAAUGACAGCACAUUUCCAACACCACAUUUUCGACACAUUACCAGCCUGUGCAGUUGUUCGCAGACCAACAUUGCUGUCCAAUUAUUUACAUUUGUUUUUUCCAAGCUAGUCUAUUACUGUGGAAAUCAAUUAUUUAAGUAAAUUUGCCCUUAAAAGGCAUGUAAAUCCAAAAAAACUGUCAGUAAGACGGUGUCUUCUUGUAAAGAGUGCAACAUUCUAUGUCAAUAUUUUCAGCCAUCUUGGUUUCAGAAAUAUUUUUCCCUUUUAUUUUUUUCCAUAGGGAUUUCAUUAGUCGUCAUAGAAGCAUUCUAAGCCUUGAACCAAACCAACCAGCUCCAAGGUGAAUCCCAAGAUUGCAGUUUUUGUUUUGAAGCAAAAAUGUUUUUUGAAAAUCUGAAAAAAAUAUAAAAGUACUGAAAAAAAUAUAAAAGUACAAGACAGUGUACUUAACAUCUUUAAUAAGGGAAUGAAGUACAGUCCAAUGAAGCAUUACGAAUGGCGUUAUAAUGACGGAAAUAUAUAAAACUAUUAAUUUCAAUUGUCGAUUAUAAGUUAGAAACAGUAUUAUUGAAGUUUAUUACAAGAUAUUCAGAUAUGUACAAAUAUAUAAGUAGUUUGAAUGUGUAUGGAGACAGAAUCGGUUGCGUCACUAGCUGGGUUUCCAUCAAAAUAUUUUGCAUUUUUAAGUGCAUUUCUAAAUAUUCAAAGUCAUGCGCAUAAUCUUGAUGGAGCCACCUUGUCAUGAUAGAGCAGCUGAAUGUCCUCCUUGCUUCAAGGAGAGUUUUAUUUGCAGGAUUGGAGCAAUUGUACCCAGUUUUAUUAAAUGCAGAAUAAGUGUAAAAUCUAAUAUAGUGAGGGCUGAAAUGGCUGCAAUGCCCAUACUCCGCCAGCCUCUGUAUACCUGGAAGCGCCAAAGCUCAAAACUGUUCUGGGCUGCAUUUCCCAAAAGCAUUGUAAGCCUAAGUAGAUUGUAGAAAACAAUGGUGUUAAUGGUGGAUUAUGAGGACCCACUUUAACAACCAGCUGUGGGUUAACAUUAGGGGCGGCUGUGGCUCAGGUGGUAGAGCGGGUCUGAUUCCUUGUCUUGCAUGGCAGCUCUGCCGUCAUUGGUGUGUGAGUGUGAGUGUGUGUGUGUGUGCAUGUGUGUGUGUGUGUGAAUGGGUGAAUGAGUCACAGUGUAAAGUGCUUUGAAAACCCCUAAGGUUAAAAAAUCGCUAUAUAAGUGCAGACCAUUUACCAUUACUUCCAAAUGUCAAGGGCCAUGUUCGAAGAAUUGUGUGCCAAGGUCUGUCAUUUCAAUGAGCCAGUCACAUUAAACUAUUGCACAUAACACAUGCAGGAAUGGUCAAAACACAUCAUCUUUUUGCGAAUAAACUGUUUCCAUCAACUUAAUCACCACAGUUUAACCAAUGCAAAAUGCAAUGCAAUUUCUACUGCGCAUAACAAUAGUUGGAUGGAAACCCAGCUAUUCACAGUGCAUCAUGGGAGUAGGCGGUCACAGCAGAGCUCAUUUGCAGUGGUUGGUUUACCAUGACUUUAAAUUGUGGAUCUUUCUCUUCGGGAUUCAACAGAAGCAUAUACCAUCGAUUUGCCUCAGAACUUAAGAUGAUUUCAGUCCAAGGUGUGCUAUUGUGACGCUCCUGUUCUACCCGCUCCGGGACUCGAACCGGCAUCCGCGGCAUGGGAGGCGGAUGCGCUAACAAGGAGGCUAAAGGCUACAGCCUCUAGCAUCAGUCGCUAGUGCACCUCUUGAGGGUCACGGCACCAUUGUGACGCUCCUGUUCUACCCGCUCUGUACAGGACUCAAACCGGCGUCUCUGGCAUGGGAGGAGGGUGCGCUAACAAGGAGGCUAAAGGCUACAGCCUCUAGCGUCAGUUGCUAGUGCACCACUUGAGUGUGCUAACACGGCAACCUCCACCACCCCACCACCACCAGUUGAGUCCCGUCCUGCACGGGGGUAGGCUCAUCGCCCAUGCCUCCUAUCUCCGGCAGGAUAUGACGAUUCCGAGUACAACUUCUUCGGACCGCCAGACGAGGCUUACGCCAAAGAGAGACAUUCAUUUUCUGUUUUAUAUUCAUCAAAUAAAUGUCAUCUUAAAUUUUUACUGAAGUCUGCAAGUCUUCCUGAUAGAAAUGAAUGUUUUGGGUUCAAUAUCUCUCAUUUUUAAAAUACAACAAUGUAGCCACAAGGCACAAACAUUAAAAAUGUUGUAAAAUGCUAAAUCACGCUAACAUGUAUAAUGCAGGUAUGCACUGAUAUGAAUAUAUUUGGCUGAUACAGAUUUUAACAAAAAACUGAUAUUUAUCCACUAAUCUUGUUUUGUCAUCAGAUCACUGUUUUACUCAGGAAUGCUUAAAAAAUACAUCUUAUUUUCGAUAACUCAUAACUUAAUGUUUCAAAGUGUUUUGGAUGUUUUCCCUCAUCAUGUAGCCUGUAGGUAAGUGCCGCUUUCACAACUGUCAUGUCCGUUUAUGGUGGUUUUUCCACAUUAAUGUGAGAACGAGACAGCAUAAAAAUGUUAUAUUAUAUGUUAUUAAGAGUGCCAACCCUUCUACAUACUAUGGCUAUUAUUAUUUCUGGAUUGUGCAUUGAGUUUUACAAAGUGUGUUACUAAUUAAUUAUAAAUAAACCAUUGGUUUUCUUUGGUCAAUAAUUGGUCGAUAAAUAUUGCCAGCCGAUACACCGGUGCAUCCCAAGUAUAAUGUUUGUGUUUUGUGGCUAUACUUUUGAAACAGUGCUUAAUUUCGCACAAUUGAGACACAAAAAUAUUACAGAUAAUACAGUCUCUUUUUCUAUUAAAGCAUCAUUUUCUGUAAAGCUGCUUUGAAAUGGUAUGUGUUGUGAA